rnacentral:tRNA from 1 species
GUCUCCGUAGCUCAGCUGGAUAGAGCGUCCGCCUCCUAAGCGGCAGAUUGUUCGAUUCCUUCGAGCCU